rnacentral:rRNA from 1 species
GAUGAACGCUGGCGGCGUGCCUAAUACAUGCAAGUCGAGCGAACGGACGAGAAGCUUGCUCCUCUGAUGUUAGCGGCGGACGGGUGAGUAACACGUGGAUAACCUACCUAUAAGACUGGGAUAACUUCGGGAAACCGGAGCUAAUACCGGAUAAUAUUUUGAACCGCAUGGUUCAAAAGUGAAAGACGGUCUUGCUGUCACUUAUAGAUGGAUCCGCGCUGCAUUAGCUAGUUGGUAAGGUAACGGCUUACCAAGGCAACGAUGCAUAGCCGACCUGAGAGCGUCGUCCGACACCCGGGAACAGAGACACGGUACAGACUCCUACGGGAGGAAGCAGUAGGGAAUCUUCCGCAAUGGGCGAAAGCCUGACGGAGCAACGCGGCGUGAGUGAUGAAGGUCUUCGGAUCGUAAAACUCUGUUAUUAGGGAAGAACAAAUGUGUAAGUAACUGUGCACAUCUUGACGGUACCUAAUCAGAAAGCCACGGCUAACUACGUG